rnacentral:rRNA from 1 species
CCUACGGUGGGCAGCAGUGAGGAAUAUUGGUCAAUGGCCGUAAGGCUGAACCAGCCAAGUCGCGUGAAGGAAGAAGGAUCGAUGGUUUGUAAACUUCUUGUAUAGGGGAAUAAAGGUAGCCACGUGUGGAUAUUUGCAUGUACCCUAUGAAUAAGCAUCGGCUAACUCCGUGCCAGCAGCCGCGGUAAUACGGAGGAGGCGAGCGUUAUCCGGAUUUAUUGGGUUGAAAGGGGGCGUAGGUUUUUUUUUCAGUCAGCGGUGAAAGUUUGUGGCUCAACCCUAAAAUUGCCGUUGAAACUGGAAGACUUGAGUGUGUUUGCGGUAGGCGGUAUGCGUGUUGUCGCGGUGACAUGCAUCGAUAUCACGCAGAACUCCGAUUGCGACGGCAGCUUCCUACGCCAUAACUGCCACUGACGCACGAAAGCGUGGUGCUCAACCCGGCUUAGCUACCCUUGUCGUC